UACAUAGUUACAUAAGCACUAUAACAUAUCUUAGCCAUUACCCAAUAAUAAUAUUAAAUAAAAAAUAAUUAAAUAAUCAAAUAUACAAAUAUAACUUGUAAAAAUUGUAAAACAAAAUAAAAGCAAAGUCACACGCACUGGCAAAAGUAAAGUAACAUAACGCCAAGUUACCAACAAUUUGCAAAGUCACCCAAAAGCAAAGUAACGUAAUGCCAAGUCACCAAUAAUUUACAAACAAAAAAUCUUAAGCUUCCCCGCUGUCACACGCACUAGCAACACCGAAUACUGGUUCGAUACACUCUCGACACCGUUUUGAAGGACAUCGGCCGCGUGAUUCCAGCGAAAGCAAGCCAUCUUCUUCCCUGAAUCCAUCGAGCCACUUAACAAUCACUAGUUCCAGCCAAAUAAUUGCACUAUCACAACCUUCAAGAUCGCCACCCGUACUUCUCCUGGUUCCCAUCGUUGACGGCUCCAUAAUUACCACUUUUCGACAAGUGCAAUAGCUGUGGUCAAGGAUCAAAUUGUGUUUGGUUUCAUAAACUUCACUAUUUCAAUUAAUUGUGGCUUUAUUUGAACAAUUAAUUUCGGUGUUAUGUUAAUGUAUUAUUGUAACUUUCUUUGAAUAAUUAAUUUUAGUGUGUUAUAUUUU
rnacentral:lncRNA from 1 species